GGGAAGGGGGAGGGGGAGGGGAGGGGGGGAGGAGGAGGAGGAGGCGGCAGACCGCUGACAUCGUCAGUAUUUAAACAGACCACAUCAUGCAUGAAUACAAGCUAGUGAUCCUUGGUUCAGGAGGCGUUGGGAAGUCUGCUCUGACGGUUCAGUUUGUUCAGGGAAUUUUUCUUGGAAAUUAUGACCUAACCAUAGAAGAUUCCUACAGAAAGUUAAGUUGAAGUCGAUUGCCAACAGCGUACGCUCGAAAUCCUGGAUACUGCAGAAACAGAGCAAUUUACAGCAAUGAAGGAUUUGUAUAUGAAGAAUGGCCAGGGUUUUGCACUAGCAUAUUCUGUUACAGCUCAGCCCACGUUUAACAACUUACAGGACCUGAGGGAACAGAUUUUACGGGUUAAGGACACAGAAAAUGUUCCAAUGAUUUUGAUUGGCAAUAAAUGUGACCUGGAAGAUGAGUGAGUAGUUGGCAAAGAACAGGGCCAGAAUUUAGCAAGACAGUGGUGUAACUGUGCCUUUUUAGAAUCUUCUGCAAAGUCAAAGAUCAGUGUUAAUGAGAUAUUUUACGACCUGGUCAGACAGAUAAAUAGAAAAACACCAGUGGAAAAGAAGAAUCCUAAAAAGAAAUCAUGUCUGCUGCUCUAAGCCCACAGUAGCAGCAGCUUUGAGCCAGAUUACAGGAAUGAAGAACUGUUGCCUAAUUGGAAAGUGCCGGCAUUCCAGACUUCAGAAAAUAAAUCUGAAGAGGCUUCUCCUGUGUUAUAUAUUAUGUGAAGAAUUUAGAUCUCAUAUUGGUUUGCACAAGUUUCCUGGAGAAAAAAAUUGCUCUGUGAAUAUUUCUUGGAAAAUAAGACAAUAGUAUUCCUCCUUUGCAAUAGCAGUUAUAACAGAUGUGAAAAUAUACUUUAAUAUGAUUAUACAAAAGAUCAUGGAUGCAUUUCAAAUGUUAGAUAUUGCUGCUAUAAUCAAAUGAUUUCAUAUUAACCUUUUUAUCAUGAUUCCUCCCUAUCAAGCACUAAAAAGUUGAACCAUUAUACGUUAUAUCUGUAAUGAUAUUAUGAAAUGUCCCCUCAAACUCAUCCCAGCAGAUAAUUUUUUGAGUCAUUGACUUCAUUUUAUAUUU